AUUGAACGCUGGCGGCAGGCCUAACACAUGCAAGUCGAACGGUAACAGAAAGCAGCUUGCUGCUUUGCUGACGAGUGGCGGACGGGUGAGUAAUGUCUGGGAAACUGCCUGAUGGAGGGGGAUAACUACUGGAAACGGUAGCUAAUACCGCAUAACGUCGCAAGACCAAAGAGGGGGACCUUCGGGCCUCUUGCCAUCGGAUGUGCCCAGAUGGGAUUAGCUAGUAGGUGGGGUAACGGCUCACCUAGGCGACGAUCCCUAGCUGGUCUGAGAGGAUGACCAGCCACACUGGAACUGAGACACGGUCCAGACUCCUACGGGAGGCAGCAGUGGGGAAUAUUGCACAAUGGGCGCAAGCCUGAUGCAGCCAUGCCGCGUGUAUGAAGAAGGCCUUCGGGUUGUAAAGUACUUUAGCGGGGAGGAAGGGAGUAAAGUUAAUACCUUUGCUCAUUGACGUUACCCGCAGAAGAAGCACCGGCUAACUCCGU
rnacentral:rRNA from 1 species